rnacentral:pre_miRNA from 1 species
UUUAUACUCUCUUCGUUCGGAAAUACUUAUUGGAGGAAUGAUGUAUUUAGAUGUAUUUUAGUUUUACAUACAUCUAUUUUUAUUCAUUUCUUCGACAAGUAUUUUUGAACGGAGGGAGUAAAAG